rnacentral:Y_RNA from 1 species
GAUUGCUAUCUCACGUGAUUGUUCACAGUCAGUUACAGAUUGAACUCCUUGUUCUACUACUUUCCCCCCUCCUCACUACUGCACUUGACUAGUCUUUA